GAUCAUGGCUCAGGAUGAACGCUAGCGACAGGCUUAACACAUGCAAGUCGAGGGGCAGCACGGGAGUAGCAAUACAACUGGUGGCGACCGGCGCACGGGUGAGUAACGCGUAUGCAACCUACCUAUCAGAGGGGAAUAACCCGGCGAAAGUCGGACUAAUACCGCAUAAAACAGGGGCACCGCAUGGUGAUAUUUGUUAAAGAAAUUCGCUGAUAGGUGGGCAUGCGUUCCAUUAGGUAGUUGGUGAGGUAACGGCUCACCAAGCCGACGAUGGAUAGGGGAACUGAGAGGUUGGUCCCCCACACUGGUACUGAGACACGGACCAGACUCCUACGGGAGGCAGCAGUGAGGAAUAUUGGUCAAUGGGCGAGAGCCUGAGCCAGCCAAGUCGCGUGAAGGAAGAAGGAUCUAUGGUUCGUAAACUUCUUUUGCAGGGGAAUAAAGUGCAGGACGUGUCCUGUUUUGUAUGUACCCUGAGAAUAAGGAUCGGCUAACUCCGUGCCAGCCGCGGC
rnacentral:rRNA from 1 species